rnacentral:misc_RNA from 1 species
AAAGUCGUAACAAGGUUUCCGUAGGUGAACCUGCGGAAGGAUCAUUAAAAGUAAUCAGUACUCUGUACUAAUUAUAAACCCAUCUGUGUAUCUUACCUGUUGCUUCCGUGGGGUGCGGUGGCUCCGGCCGCCGCUUGACCCACGGGAGGUCUACACCAAACCAUUGCAUUGCCAUGAUCUCAGUCUGAAAUGAAAACAACAAAAGUUAAAACUUUCAACAACGGAUCUCUUGGUUCUC